UGGUCCAGGAUGAAACCUAAUCUG
rnacentral:piRNA from 1 species